GCAGCGAAAUGCGAUAAGUAAUGUGAAUUGCAGAAUUCAGUGAAUCAUCGAAUCUUUGAACGCACCUUGCGCCCUUCGGAUGUACUGAAGGGCAUGCCUGUUUGAGUAUCAUGAACACCUCAACUCUCACGGUCCGCCGUGACGAGCUUGGACUUUGGGGGUCUUGCCGGCCUUCCGUUGGCUCCUCUCAAACGAAUCAGCUUGCCAGUGUUUGGUGGCAUCACGGGUGUGAUAACUAUCUACGCUUGUGGUUUCCCGCCAGGUAACCUCCGUCACCGGGGGUUCGCUGGAGCUCACAAAUGUCCCUCCUUGGUGGGGACGGCUUUUGAACGUUUGAUCUCAAAUCAGGUAGGACUACCCGCUGAACUUAAGCAUAUCAAUAAGCGGAGGAAAAGAAACU
rnacentral:rRNA from 1 species